UUAAACCUGACACCGAAGCUUAGGCAAUACAGCAAUGUAUUGGGUAGGGGAGCGUUGUAUACGCGGUGAAACAGUAGCGCAAGCGGCUGUGGAGUGUAUAGAAGUGAGAAUGCCGGAAUGAGUAGCGCGAAUGCAGUGAGAAUCUGCAUGGCCGAAAGCCUCAGGUUUUCUGGAGGAAGGUUCGUCCGCUCCAGGUUAGUCGGGAGCUAAGGUGAGGCCUAACGGCGUAGCCGAUGCACAGACGGUAGAGAUUCCGUCACCACCAAAAGAGUUAAACACAGGGACACAUUUGAAGUCUCGGAGCCGGGUGUUGGUUCCGGUAGCGAUCGAGGGAAGUUAGUACCGAAGUCCGGGAUGGAAGAUGGCGAGAAAAGCUGUGUGUAUUUCUGCGGUGCCCGUACCGCAAACCGACACAGGUAGGUAGGAAGAAGAUUCUAAGGCCAACGGGAGAAGGGUUGUUAAGGAACUCGGCAAAUUGACCCCGUAACUUCGGGAGAAGGGGUGCUCCAGAGAUGGAGCCGCAGAGAAUCGGCCCAAGCAACUGUUUACCAAAAACACAGGUUUGUGCUAAAUCGAAAGAUGACGUAUACGAGCUGACGCCUGCCCGGUGCUGGAAGGUUAAGAGGAGAUGUGCAAGCAUUGAAUCGAAGCCCCAGUGAACGGCGGCCGUAACGAUAACGGUCCUAAGGUAGCGAAAUUCCUUGUCAGGUAAGUUCUGACCCGCAUGAAAGGCGUAAUGAUUUGGGCACUGUCUCGACAGCCCGCCCGGCGAAAUUGUAGUACCGGUGAAGAUGCCGGUUACCCGCGACAAGACGGAAAGACCCCAUGGAGCUUUACUGUAGCCUAAUAUUGGGUUUCGAUGUUGCAUGCACAGGAUAGAUGGGACACAGGGAAACAAGUGCUUUGGCAUUUGUGGAGUGGCCGUUGGGAUACCAUCCUUGCGAUAUUGGAAUUCUAACCUGCGCCUUUGAAUCAAGGCGGGGGACAUUGUUAGGUGGGCAGUUUGACUGGGGCGGUCGCCUCCUAAAGAGUAACGGAGGCGUUCAAAGGUUCGCUCAGCUUGAACGGAAAUCAAGCAAAAGAGUGCAAACGCAGAAGCGAGCCUAACUGCGAGACUGACGGGUCGAGCAGUAACGAAAGUUGGAGUUAGUGAUCCGGUGGUAUGUGAGUGGAAAUGCCAUCGCUCAACGGAUAAAAGUUACCCUGGGGAUAACAGGCUGAUCUCCCCCAAGAGUCCACAUCGACGGGGAGGUUUGGCACCUCGAUGUCGGCUCAUCGCAUCCUGGGGCUGUAUUCGGUCCCAAGGGUUUGGCUGUUCGCCAAUUAAAGCGGUACGCGAGCUGGGUUCAGAACGUCGUGAGACAGUUCGGUCCCUAUCUGUCGUGGGCGCAGGAUAUUUGAUGGGAGCUGUUCCUAGUACGAGAGGACCGGAGCGGACGUACCUCUGGCGCACCAGUUGUUCUGCCAAGGGCAUAGCUGGGCAACUAUGUACGGAUCGGAUAAACGCUGAAAGCAUCUAAGCGUGAAGCCGACCCAAAGAUAAGAUAUCCCAUUGUUUCAAACAAGUAAGACCCCUUGAAGACUACAAGGUUGAUAGGCACGAUGUGUAAGUGGAGUGAUCCAUUCAGCAAGCGUGUACUAAUAGGUCGAGGGCUUGACC
rnacentral:rRNA from 1 species